rnacentral:rRNA from 1 species
GAUGAACGCUGGCGGCGUGCCUAAUACAUGCAAGUCGAGCGAACAGACGAGGAGCUUGCUCCUCUGACGUUAGCGGCGGACGGGUGAGUAACACGUGGAUAACCGACCUAUAAGACUGGGAUAACUUCGGGAAACCGGAGCUAAUACCGGAUAAUAUAUUGAACCGCAUGGUUCAAUAGUGAAAGACGGUUUUGCUGUCACUUAUAGAUGGAUCCGCGCCGCAUUAGCUAGUUGGUAAGGUAACGGCUUACCAAGGCGACGAUGCGUAGCCGACCUGAGAGGGUGAUCGGCCACACUGGAACUGAGACACGGUCCAGACUCCUACGGGAAGCAGCAGUAGGGAAUCUUCCGCAAUGGGCGAAAGCCUGACGGAGCAACGCCGCGUGAGUGAUGAAGGUCUUCGGAUCGUAAAACUCUGUUAUUAGGGAAGAACAAAUGUGUAAGUAACUAUGCACGUCUUGACGGUACCUAAUCAGAAAGCCACGGCUAACUACGUG